rnacentral:rRNA from 1 species
GACGUAGGGUCCGAGCGUUGUCCGGAAUUACUGGGCGUAAAGAGCUCGUAGGUGGUUUGUCGCGUUGUUCGUGAAAACUCACAGCUCAACUGUGGGCGUGCGGGCGAUACGGGCAGACUGGAGUACUGCAGGGGAGACUGGAAUUCCUGGUGUAGCGGUGGAAUGCGCAGAUAUCAGGAGGAACACCGGUGGCGAAGGCGGGUCUCUGGGCAGUAACUGACGCUGAGGAGCGAAAGCGUGGGGAGCGAACAGG